UGAAGCAAAGAGAGAAAGGAAGAAAGGAGAAAGAAAGAAAGGAUGGAGAAAGAAAAAAAAGACAACGAAGGUUCGGCCUAGUGGUUCCAAGCUAAGGAAAGUAAGUUGAACUUUGAUUUUAGCUGUGAUUUCUUGAGGAAAUGAGUUGGUAAUUGUGUGAGAAUGUUUAUGGCAACAAAGUUCCUCCAAGAAUUGAAAGAAAUAGAUGCAUGCUUGUGGGUCAAUCUUGGAAUCCAUGGUGAUUUUGAGCUAGAUAAGCUAUGGCAAUGGUGACCAUGGGUGUGAGAAAAUUGUGAGCUAUAUGUGUGGAAUUCAAGCUAAAACCGAAAGGAAGCGUAUAAGAAGAGAAGUUGUUGUGGUGGCGUGCCAGAGGAAGUAACGGGUGACUGACAGGUAGAAUUAGCUAGAUACGCAUCCAAGUCAAUAGUGAAGUAGUAUCCUGCUAUUGUGAGGUGUUUGAAAGAAGAAUUUUAAUGGAAGAAGGAG